UUAGUUCAGCCCAAAGCUAGUUGGACUGAGGCCCAAUUCUGCGUAAGACCGGCCCACCAAAAAACAAUACACAUUCAGUCUCUCCAAAACCUAAUCUCUAAACCUUCAGCCGCCCACCCCAACGUCUCUUCUCUCUAUCUCAAUGACCGUUCACAGAAAAUUCCAAGAGCUCAACCAAAAACUCAGUAAGGGUCUCACCACUUCGAGAAAAACCUUGAACACCUCAUGGCCAGAGCUUUAAUUCUAAUUGGUGCGUUCAAACCUGAUUUUCUUUAUCAUUUCUUCUUUCGCCCUUUUUAGUACGAGAGCUUUAAUGGAUUUCAUCUUCUUCCUUUUUUUUCUGGUUCGAUGACAUACAAGACAUCCUAACGUUUGGAUUUGAAUGGAGAUUUGACCAAGAAAUCCCACCCAAAUUUUGAACCCCAGCAAACCCUAGAACUUUUCCUAUAAAUACUCGCCUCUUUAGUCAUUUGGGGGGUUUUUUUUUGGUCGGAAAAAUAUCCUUCAAAACCACUGCUAAGAUACUCUUAAUAUUAUUCUGUUCUUUACUUUUGGUCUCACCCGAGGUUUCGAAUCCAAGGGUGUGGAAGCUCGGUGUUCAAGCAUAGAUUUAAGACCCCCGCACCCUGUUCACUGCACACGAGAAAGGGUUGGUUGACUAAGGAUCGGAAAUGAUAAAGAAUGCUGAAAAACAGACAACUUGGAGCUAAAAGACGGUCCGUAACUCAUGUUACGAGCCGUAACGUGAUCCGUACCAGAGAGGAUACGUGCCGCUAUAAAGGACGGUCCGUAACUCAUUUUACGGGCCGUAACGUGUACCGUAAGCUGAGGGAAAUUUUCAGAAAGUUGCCUAAGUAGUGUCGCAGGUUACGCCCCAGAAGGACGGUCCGUAACUUAGGUUAUGGGGCGUAACGUCGUGGCGUAACGCAUUGGCCACUGAAGAUUGAGGCCAUGAUCCGCUGGGAGAUACGGACCGUCCCAUAGUGGCCGUGACAUCACGCUGACAAAGGACGAACCGAAGGACGGACCGUAACCUGUGUUACGGUCCGUAAUGAUGCCGCGUAAGGAUGUUUUUGUCCAGAAACUUGGCGCGAUUUUUGGCCCUAUAAAUACUUAAAGUAGGGUUUUAAUUCAUAAUUCUGAUUUUUCUGAAGGAGCAUUAACUUUAGGUCUUGAAUAUUUGAAGUGGUUGGAGCAUUUAAAGCAACAACUUCACUUUCAUUCCAUAUUGUAUUCGCAUCGUAAGUAUAUUAUGUUAACUUUUAAGCUUUCUUUGUUAGCCAAAAGUAUGAGUAACUAAUUUUAAUCCUAAGGUUGUGGAUCCUAUGAUGGAUAUUAUGUAAAUGGGUUUCUACUAUUGAUAUAUGCAUAAUGAUUGUUA